CUUUAGCAAUAUGCUAAAACUUUAGCUUUCUAGCUUUAGCAUUUUCAGCAAAUGUCUUCAGCAACUACAGUAAAAUUCUUCAGCAUCUUUAGCCAAAAGCACUCACACUAGCAUUAUUGGGGGGAAUGCAACUUUUCUCAUUGUACUUGUAAAAUACUGAAUUAGACUAAAUAACAUCCCUACUCAAAAACGUACUUUAGUUAGAUAUUACUAUACAUAUAAUAUAGGACAGAAUGGAAAAAGUUACUUAGAACAUAGAAAGUGAUUUUCCAACUUCUUUAAGGAUGAAAUGAGGAGUUCUUCUUUGACUCACACUGACUCAGUUUCAACUAUUUUUUAAAGUUUUUUUUUUUUUUUACCUCAAUUGUGGACUAAAGAAACUGUGUUUGAUAAUCGAAACCCUUAUCUAGUCCGAGGCUCAGAAGUUGAACAUCCCUAUAUUGCAUAUCGGCCCUGCAGAGCCCACAGCUGAAUCCCGCGCAUGCAUCCAGGUGUCCUACCGAUUCCAUCGGACUUUUAGAGGGCCAGAAUCGCUGAAAUCCUUUGACCAGAUCGCUCGAUAAAACGACCUACUGAUAAGAAACUCGUGUUGUUGCUGCCUGUGUCUGUGUUUCUGUGUGUGCUGCAAUGAGAAAAGCAAAACUGGGAUAUUGCACUGAUACUCCUAAGACUAUAAGGUGGUGUGCUUUAUUUCAUGCAGGUGGAGGUACAAUCAAUAAAAUGGAUUAGCUGCACAGGUUUUGUCUGCGGGAUUUGUCUGCGCUGAAUGCGGACGGACAUGUGAGCCAGAAUGCAGCGUUCCUGUAAUGGCCUCGUCUGCAUUCUGCCGAUUUUCAGAGAAAGGGAUGAGCGGGAAUGCAGAAAUCGCAGCGUCCAUCCCUGCACUACAGCCGGUCGAACCAAUCACGGUUCUCCGGGACACUCCCACAUAGAUGCACAUGGCAAGCCUCCAAAGUCAGCCGCUACUAUCUUUGCAGGCAGCUUUACAAAAAGCCGAGACCACUGAAACGUGAGAGAUCAACGCAGAAGCCAGCAGAGGGAACCAGCGGCGAGGUGAAGACGGAGCGCUCUGGACCUCCGUCUCUCAGCGUGAGAAGAAAGAAAGAAAGUUCCUCUUGAAGUCAGAGGAAUACACUUCCAGCACAGCUUCAAAACUAAACAGCAGUGAAUGUGACAACGGUUCCACAGUUUUGGCAGCCAAACUUCAAUCCAGAGAGUGGACAGACGUGGAGAUUGGAACAUUAAAAAGAAGCCAGUGGAGAAGAAUGAGAGGCAUAAAUUGCGUCACACUCGGAGUGGAAGAGUCAGGCAGCUGGACUGCAUCAAACGUCACGCCACUUUCUGAACUCCCUCCAGAUUCCAGCAGAGGGGAAAAAGAAGCCAGGAGCAGAAAUGUGGGACCAUUCCUUCAGAAGAAAGUCAAAAGAAAACUGUUGACCGUCCGAUUUAUGCCGACACUCUGCAGCUUCGUAGCUAAACGUCCUCCAUCUUUGGUGUCUGACAUGGUCGGGUACAGGAGUCUGGAACCUGCAGAGCCUCCAUGACCCUUCCAUUGUGGCUCUCCGGUUGAAGAAAAUUGAUGUUUUCAUUUUAAAAGUAGCACAUUCAUCAAAACAAAACAGUCAAACUUUUGUUAAAUCAUUCACAAACAUUUGAAGAAUAGCACGCAUCCCUCCUGACUACGUUACCCACAAUGCUCCAGAAAUCCAUCCAGUGUUACAGCUUUAUAGCUUCACAGUCGUACUAAAACAUUUAGACCACCAAACUCAAGGUCAGUAAGCACAGUCAGGAUUCAUAAUAAAGUGGACUGUUUCUGGGGUUUUAACUGUACCAAAAACACAGUAAGGGUCACUAAAAAUCUCUGAAUGAUUUCUUCAAAGAUAAGUUUAUGAAUUUCCAACAAAAACUAUCAAAUUAACUGCACAAAUUCUUUAAAAAAAAUGUUUUAAUUAAGUCUUUUUUUAAUU